UGAGGGAGCUCCGGCAUCCCUGCAGCAGAGCAGGGCUGUGUGAGCCUCACGCUUAGCAGGAUCAGUGAAGGAGCUCCGGCAUCCCCGCAGCAGAGCAGGGCUGUGUGAGCCUCACGCUUAGCAGGAUCAGUGAGCGCAGGAGCCGCGCAGAUUAUGGGAUGUGUGUGCUAGGCAAUGCGGAGCGUUCCACCAGCCCCUCUCUGCCGUGCUGUGUGCGGUCUGUAAAAGAGAUGGCAGUUUCUGGGAUUUUAUUAAGAAGCUUUUUGUCUUCUUUCUAUUGUCUCUGUAAGCACCAGUGUGAAGCAUUCCAAUCUGUUUGCCAGCCUGGCAGUUUUAUGUUUCCUGAAUCUGCUGGGAAAAAGUGGGAAACCACAGAAACCCAGGAUUCCUCUGGCAUCACAUUGGUUUGUUCUUGUCAGCAUAUCUAAUCAUUCUUCUGCUAAAGAAUCGUGGAGUGAGGUGAUCUUAGCAAUGAUUUACGCUGCUUGGGGCUUUAUUGAUUUUUUUUUUUCUUUAGUGAGAACGUAAGAAAAGGAAUGAAGGAAGGAUGAUACGGUUUGUAAAGAAAAUAAUUCAGUGUACAUUUCAAGUGUAGUGGCUGUUAAAUAUGUAGACAUAUAUAUGAUACUUUAUGCAGUUAUAAAAACAAAAGGUCUCUUUGCCUCAGGGUAUGAUUUCUCUUACAGCAACAGGUAGCAAAGGCUCCUCUGCCCCCUUUUCUCCCCUUAUCGCCUCCUUUUCAGCUCCUCCUGAUAAAAUGCGGUUUAAAAGGUCAGCUGGUUAUGUAAAUAGUGUGCCUUUUCUAACAAAGACCUCUGCGCAUCAAGCCUGCAAUGACUGUCAAAUAGAUUUGGGAUUCAAGACAUUCAAUAAUGGUACUGUCCGUUUUCUAAGAGUGAUAAAAUCUCGCAGAAAACAAAGGACGGACGUGGGAUGGAUCAACAGCGCCGGGGCGCCCAUGGGCAGCAGCAGCGUCACGGCAGAAUUUGGCUUCUUCUCUCUAGUGAUGUCCUAG
rnacentral:lncRNA from 1 species